AAAGCUCAGGGUGCCAGCAGCAGCUCUUGUUGGCCUUCGAUAAUGGAUGGACCUGGGGCUGCGAACUCGUAUGAUGAUGCUAAAAAUAGUUCAACUUGUGCUAGAGGUCACUGGAGACCAGCUGAGGAUGAGAAACUCAGGCAACUUGUUGAGCAAUAUGGCGCACAGAACUGGAAUUCUAUUGCUGACAAGCUUCAAGGAAGAUCAGGUAUAUACAUACAUACAUACAUACACACACACACACACACA
rnacentral:misc_RNA from 1 species